GUGGGUGUAGCUCAGCUUGGUUAGAGCGCCAGGUUGUGGCCCUGGAGGUCGCCGGUUCAAGUCCGGUCAUCCACCCCU
rnacentral:tRNA from 1 species